ensembl:lncRNA
CCAAGGCGGUCCCUCCCCUGGACGGGCGACAGACAUCCCCAGCCCUGGGCGGCGACUCCCACCGGCGCAACACGGAAUACCUCCCUGCGCAACCCUGCACUCUUCCUCCCGGCCCGUGGCCCGCCUCGCCCCGACUCACUUGCGGCGCUCUCAGCCGGGAAGGCGGCGGCGGCCCCGGAGCCCACCGAGCGCUCGCGCGGCGCGCAGCCCGAUUCUCUUUGUUAGGGUCGGGCAGUGCCAGGGCGGCUCCCCAGCCCAGCCUGGUGCUCAACUCCGCUCCCCCAGGUGCCUCCGGACCUCACCCGGCCGAGGGAGAAGAGCCCGGGACUCAAGCUCCGAAGCUGGGGACCGAACCCAGGGCCUUGUGCUUCCUAGAGACUUCCGGGCCCCUGGCUGCUGUAGGACAAGCCCCCCAAGAAACAGUGACUCCCCACAAUCUACAGCUGCCAAAAUUGUUGCCCUAGUCUCACAGAACUGCCCUGGGCACAAACUGACCAGCAAUGGCCUUUCGAGGAAGCGAAGAUGCUUGUGAUAAAUUCUCUUCCAGACAGUUGGACAUCUGCUCUCCUUAGAGGGACGACUUCUAUGGUAGAAGCAUCUACUGUCUACUUGCUGCCCUGAGGACUGCUGUCAGAAUAAAACCCACAGGGGCAGUUAAGGCUUUGUGUGAGAGAAUAUGGAUUCUAGAAGCUUCCUUGAGACGUAUGAAUGUUCUCAGGGGGAGAGGAGGAGGGAUACUUUGUACCUGCUAGCGAUUCCUUUCAAACUUGCUCCCUUCUGUUCCCUGAGGCCUCCCUGUUAUUAUGAUUUUUUAGUCAUUUAUUUUUGUGUUUCACUUAAACCUCUUGUUCGUCGUUGAUGUGCAGACUUUGGGUCUGGUUAAUUUUAGUCCAUGAUGUUCUUUAUUCCCAGGUUUUUUUUUUAUAAUAAAGUUUAUUUUAAAAAUCAACUUUGCGUGGGCAGGAGAGAUGGUGAAAUGCUUUAAAAGCAGUUGUCCUUCAUGCAGAAGACACAGGUUCGUUUACCAGAACCCAUUUAAUGGCUCACAACCGUCCAUAACGCCAGUUCCAGGGGAAUCCAAAGUCUUCUGGCCUCCAGGGCACUGCAUGCAUGAGGUACCCAGCCAUACAUGCACACAAAAACCGACUUUGAAAUGACUUCUUUUUCUUAUUUCUUCUGAUUUCUCAGCAACAUUUGCUUUAGGAAAAAAAAUUUUUUUAAAGGUGAAGCAAAUAUACAAAACAGAGAAGAAAACCAUCAAUCAGCCCCAAGCAAAAUUAACCUUUUGGCCUUUUUCCUUCCGGUUAUUUCCUGUGUGCGUUUCUUCAGCUUUCCAUGGCCUUUAUUUGAUGCAAGGUAAUGUCUUCAGGCAAAGCGCUGGUGGCGAUCAGCUGAUCUUCGGCCACAGGAGAGAGGACUCUGUAGUGGGGCUGUCCGACUUUGAAGCCUGACUCUGCCGUGUAACCUUGAGAAAAGCUGACUUGCCCUCUUCUGGGUCUUUUUCCUUGCUAUAAGAUGAGGGUUGUAGAUCUCACUUCUUGAGGUUGUUCUAAAGACUAAGUGAGUGGAUUGUAAGAGCUUACAGCAAUGGCUGACACCGGAAGCGUCAAGCCGAUGGAGUGACGUCUACUAGAGCAUCCUUCUAGAUGGCCUCUCCUACAGAGGGACAGCAAGGUUGUUUCCAAAAUUGCAGCCAUUCUAAAUGAUCUGUAGCAAGUCACUUGCUAUAUGCAUGAGGGGAAGAAAGAUGAAUUUGUAUCUUAUUGGGAAAUGACCAGACAUCAAGAAGAUAUGCUAUUCAUAAUUGAUUUAAAAGCAUAGAGUAAGUGUGGCAGGAGAACUCUUUCUGUGGGACAGGAUAUCAUGUAACCCAGCCUGGCCUCAAACUUACUAUGUAACCAAGCCUCACCUUGAACUCCUGAUCUUCCUGACUCCGCUCCCAAGUCUGGGAUUAUAAAGCUAAACUGACACACCCCACUCAAAACUUCACUUCUUGACAGGGCAGUGUUUAUCGCAGUUGAUAUUUACUGACCUCAGUGGGCCCAGAAAGCAUCUAGGCUAAGGGACGCAAAGACAAAUGGGAAAAGAAGCUUCUGUAGGUUUACAAAAACGUUACCAUUAUUGCCUCUGGGAGGACAUUUUUGUGUAGAAGUUAUGUCUGGUUCUUCCUCCCAUCCCCAUGCUUGCAGAAAUAAGACUCAGAUUCAAAAUAUAUUUACAAAUACCUUGGCUAGGCUCUCCUCUGACUAGAUCAUAACUUAACCCAUUUAUUCUCAUCCACAUCCUGUCAUGUGGCUGGUUACCUGUGCUCAGGUACUAAGCAUCUGUCUCCUCGCAUCUUCCCAGGUGAUCUCCCAAGCCUCGGGCUAUCACAGAAUCCUUUCUGUCUACAGAAUGUCUAGACAGACGCCGUCUAUCCUACCCUUUCCUAUAGGCCAUAGGUUUUGGGUUUUUUUUUUUUUUAUUGACCAAUGGUGCAUCCAUACAAUACAUAAGAUAUUCUCUCUACAUUUUUGCUUGUUUGUUUUUCUUUUUUCUUUUUUCUUUUUUUUUCGGAGAUGGGGACCGAACCCAGGGCCUUGAGCUUGCUAGGCAAGUGCUCUACCACUGAGCUAAAUCCCCACCCCCCUCUACAUUUUUGUAAUGAGAUAUUUCUGCAUGUCACCCAGGUGAACAGAGACCACAAAAAUGUCCAAGGGUGACCAACCAAUACAGCAGGGAGUACAAGUGACGUUGAUUCUUCUUCACACUCUCCUCUGGGAACCUUGAUCAGCAAACACUUGAGAGGACUGAUGUGAACAGAAGUACAGCAUGUGUAAAGCACACGUACGACCAUGUGCUUUACGAUGAGCACUGUAAACCUAACAGCUGCCGUAUGCAUGCCAGGCACUGCGCUAAGCCCUUUGCAAACACCACCGGCCGGAUCCUUACCAGAUGAGUGUUACCAACUGGAUUGUUUAUGCUUUACAGCUAAGGGAGCAGGGAGGUCAGCAGCAGCAUUGGGAGCACACACAAGUGUCGAAGUUGGAUUUGUAACCAAGACAUCAGACUGAUUUCAGUGAGCCGAUGGCAAGAGGUGAAUUCCGAGAGUCUCGCCAAUCACUGCUUAUCCCCACGAACUUUAUACAUCUCUCUGAAAAGAAGAAAAGAGCUUAGUUUUACAAAAUCCACACCUUACACAGU